rfam:Triticum aestivum genome assembly, contig: Triticum_aestivum_CS42_TGACv1_scaffold_527675_6DL
CUAGUACCCCUUCCGUCCGCAAAUACUUAUUGAAAAAAUAAAUAAAAGUGAAUGUAUCUAUAAUUUAAAUACGUUUAAAUACAUCCAUUUCUCCGACAAGUAUUUCCGGACGGAGGGAGUAUUAA